rnacentral:rRNA from 1 species
GACGAACGCUGGCGGCGUGCUUAACACAUGCAAGUCGAACGGAAAGGCCCCCAUCUUGGUGGGGGUGCUCGAGUGGCGAACGGGUGAGUAACACGUGGGUGAUCUGCCCUGUACUUCGGGAUAAGCUUGGGAAACUGGGUCUAAUACCGGAUAGGACCAUGGUUUAGUGUCUCAUGGUGGAAAGAUUAUUGUUUUGGUGCAGGAUGAGCUCGCGGCCUAUCAGCUUGUUGGUGGGGUAAUGGCCUACCAAGGCGUCGACGGGUAGCCGGCCUGAGAGGGUGGACGGCCACAUUGGGACUGAGAUACGGCCCAGACUCCUACGGGAGGCAGCAGUGGUGAAUAUUGCACAAUGGGCGCAAGCCUGAUGCAGCGACGCCGCGUGGGGGAUGACGGCCUUCGGGUUGUAAACUCCUUUCGUUAGGGACGAAGCCACGCUUUUUGGGUGUGGUGACGGUACCUUUGUUAAGAAGCACCGGCUAACUACGUGC